AUGGGGAACUGCCAGGCGGCGGAGGUGGCGGCGGCGGUGGUGCAGCACCCGGGCGGGCGGGUGGAGCGGCUCUACUGGUCCACGCCCGCGGCGGAGGUGAUGCGCGCCAACCCGGGCCACUACGUCGCGCUCGUCACGCUCCGCGUCGCCGAGGAGCGCCAGGACGCCGACGGCGGCGGCGCGCGCCGCACCGUGCGCCUCACCCGCGUCAAGCUCCUCAAGCCCAAGGAGACGCUGCUCCUCGGCCACGCCUACCGCCUCAUCACCGCCAACGAGGUGACCAAGGCGGUGCAGGCGAGGAAGGAGGAGAAGCUGAGGAAGGCGCGGCAGCAGCUGCAGCAGCUGGAGUUGUCGACGCGGCAGAGCAAGCUGCGGCCGGCGGCGGACGGUGACGACGUCGACGACGACGACGACGAGGCCAGCUUGGAUGAGAGUCUCGAUCAGUUGGCGCGGCAGGACGGAGGAGACGGCCACCGGAGCUCCGGCGCCCGGCACCGGCAAUGGCGGCCCUCGCUGCACAGCAUCGACGAGGCCGCGAGCUGA
rnacentral:rRNA from 1 species